UUACGGUCAUAUCACGUUGAAUCACCGCUUCUCUUACGAUCGCUUAAGUUAAGCAACGUCGAGCCCAGUCAGUGCCUGGAUGGGUGACCGUUUGGGAAUAACAAGUACUGUAA